rnacentral:rRNA from 1 species
GACGAACGCUGGCGGCGUGCUUAACACAUGCAAGUCGAACGGAAAGGCCCUGCUUUUGUGGGGUGCUCGAGUGGAGACCGGGGGAGUAACACGUGAGUACCCUGUCAUUGACUUUGGGAUAACUUCAGGCAACUGGGGGUAAUACGGGCUAGGAGCUAUUGCUGCAGGGUGGGGGUUGGAAAGUUUCGGCGGUUGGGGGUGGACUAGCGGCUUAUCGCCUUGUUGGGGUGGUAGUGGCUUACCAAGGCUUUGACGCGUAGCCGGCCUGGGAGGGUGGCCGGCCACAUUGGGACUGAGAUACGGCCCAGACUCCUACGCGAGGCAGCGGUGGGGAAUAUUGCACUGUGGGCGGAGGCCUGAUGCGGCAACGCCGCGUGCGGUAUGACGGCCUUCGGGUUGUAUACCGCUAUCGCCUGUGACGAAGCGUGAGUGACGGUAAUGGGUAAAGAAGCACCGGCUAACUACGUG